AUUGAACGCUGGCGGCAGGCCUAACACAUGCAAGUCGAGCGGAUGAAGGGAGCUUGCUCCUGGAUUCAGCGGCGGACGGGUGAGUAAUGCCUAGGAAUCUGCCUGGUAGUGGGGGAUAACGUCCGGAAACGGGCGCUAAUACCGCAUACGUCCUGAGGGAGAAAGUGGGGGAUCUUCGGACCUCACGCUAUCAGAUGAGCCUAGGUCGGAUUAGCUAGUUGGUGGGGUAAAGGCCUACCAAGGCGACGAUCCGUAACUGGUCUGAGAGGAUGAUCAGUCACACUGGAACUGAGACACGGUCCAGACUCCUACGGGAGGCAGCAGUGGGGAAUAUUGGACAAUGGGCGAAAGCCUGAUCCAGCCAUGCCGCGGGUGUGAAGAAGGUCUUCGGAUUGUAAAGCACUUUAAGUUGGGAGGAAGGGCAGUAAGUUAAUACCUGGCUGUUUUGACGUUACCAACAGAAUAAGCACCGGCGAACUUCGU
rnacentral:rRNA from 1 species